CAGCAGCCGCGGUAAUACGUAGGGUGCGAGCGUUAAUCGGAAUUACUGGGCGUAAAGGGCUCGCAGGCGGUUUCUUAAGUCUGAUGUGAAAGCCCCCGGCUCAACCGGGGAGGGUCAUUGGAAACCGGGAAACUUGAGUGCAGAAGAGGAGAGUGGAAUACCACGUGUAGCGGUGAAAUGCGUAGAGAUGUGGAGGAACACCAGUGGCGAAGGCGACUCUCUGGUCUGUAACUGACGCUGAGGAGCGAAAGCGUGGGGAGCGAACAGGAUUAGAGACCCCAGUAGUCCCUGUCUCUUAUAA
rnacentral:rRNA from 1 species